rnacentral:rRNA from 1 species
GAUGAACGCUGGCGGCGUGCCUAAUACAUGCAAGUCGAGCGAAUGGAUUGAGAGCUUGCUCUUAUGAAGUUAGCGGCGGACGGGUGAGUAACACGUGGGUAACCUGCCCAUAAGACUGGGAUAACUCCGGGAAACCGGGGCUAAUACCGGAUAACAUUUUGAGCCGCAUGGUUCGAAAUUGAAAGGCGGCUUCGGCUGUCACUUAUGGAUGGACCCGCGUCGCAUUAGCUAGUUGGUGAGGUAACGGCUCACCAAGGCAACGAUGCGUAGCCGACCGAGGAGGGUGAGCGGCCACACUGGGACUGAGACACGGCCCAGACUCCUACGGGAGGCAGCAGUAGGGAAUCUUCCGCAAUGGACGAAAGUCUGACGGAGCAACGCCGCGUGAGUGAUGAAGGCUUUCGGGUCGUAAAACUCUGUUGUUAGGGAAGAACAAGUGCUAGUUGAAUAAGCUGGCACCUUGACGGUACCUAACCAGAAAGCCACGGCUAACUACGUGCCAGCCGCCGCGGUAA